rnacentral:rRNA from 1 species
UUACCGGCUUNAAUGGCAGGAAACUCCUUCGGGCCAAGGUGCUGCAUGGUUGUCGUCAGCUCGUGCCGUGAGGUGUCGGGUUAAGUCCCAUAACGAGCGCAACCCUAUCUUAGUUGCNAGCGACCGGGACUCUAAGAAACUGCCGGUGUAACCGGAGGAAGGUGGGGAUGACGUCAAAUCAGCACGGCCCUUAUGCCGGGCUACACACGUGUUACAAUGGAGUACAUGGGGCAGGGCGACCGAUGCAAUCUCCAAACUGUCUCAGUUCGGAUCGGAGUCUGCAACUCGACUCCGUGAAGUUGGAUUCGCUAGUAAUCGUAAUCAGCAUGUACGGUGAAUACGUUCCCGGGCCUUGUACACACCGCCCGUCAAACCAUGGAAGCUGGGGGCCGAG